AUUAAAGUAGUUUAAACGAAAAAUUUCGAUUUGUGAUGUCGAUGAUAUAUUUAAUAUAUUUUUAAUA
rnacentral:tRNA from 1 species